rnacentral:tRNA from 1 species
AGCUGGAUAGAGCAACGGCCUUCUAAGCCGUCGGUCGGGAGUUCGAAUCUCUCC